UACAGAGGUCUCAAGCGUUGUUCGGAUUCAUUGGGCGUAAAGGGUGUGUAGGUGGCGCCGUAAGUCGGGUGUGAAAUUUCGGAGCUUAACUCCGAAACUGCAUUCGAUACUGCCGUGCUUGAGGACUGGAGAGGAGACUGGAAUUUACGGUGUAGCGGUGAAAUGCGUAGAUAUCGUAAGGAAGACCAGUGGCGAAGGCGGGUCUCUGGACAGUUCCUGACGCUGAGGAGCGAAAGCGUGGGGAGCGAUCCGG
rnacentral:rRNA from 1 species